AAGAAAUGCCAUUUUUCUAAAUGGUUUGACGGUACCAGAGGAAUAAGCACCGGCUAACUCCGUGCCAGCAGCCGCGGUAAUACGGAGGGUGCAAGCGUUAUCCGGAUUCACUGGGUUUAAAGGGUGCGUAGGNGGGCAGGUAAGUCCGUGGUGAAAUCUCUGAGCUUAACUCANAAACUGCCAUGGAUACUAUUUGUCUUGAAUACUGUGGAGGUAAGCGGAAUAUGUCAUGUAGCGGUGAAAUGCUUAGAUAUGACAUGGAACACCAAUUGCGAAGGCAGCUUACUACACAAAUAUUGACGCUGAGGCACGAAAGCGUGGGGAUCAAACAGGAUUAGAUACCCUGGUAGUCCACGCCCUAAACGAUGAUUACUCGACAUCAGCGAUACACUGUUGGUGUCUGAGCGAAAGCAUUAAGUAAUCCACCUGGGA
rnacentral:rRNA from 1 species